rnacentral:pre_miRNA from 1 species
GAUCUCUGAAUCCUGAAUUUGUUUGUGUGCUGGACGGAAAUCAUCUAUCUCUAGCACCAUUUAAAUUCAGCAUUUUUGAGA